rnacentral:rRNA from 1 species
UACGUAGGGUGCAAGCGUUAAUCGGAAUACUGGGCGUAAAGCGUGCGCAGGCGGUUCUAUAAGACAGAUGUGAAAUCCCCGGGCUCAACCCUGGGAACUGCAUUUGUGACUGUAGAGCUGGAGUACAGUAGAGGGGGAUGGAAUUCCGCGUGUAGCAGUGAAAUGCGUAGAUAUGCGGAGGAACACCGAUGGCGAAGGCAAUCCCCUGGACCCGUACUGACGCUCAUGCACGAAAGCGUGGGGAGCAACAGG